rnacentral:rRNA from 1 species
GGGGUAGAGUAAUGCGUGACCAACCUGCCCCAUGCUCCAGAAUAGCUCUUGGAAACGGGUGGUAAUGCUGGAUGCUCCAACUUGACGCAUGUCUUGUUGGGAAAGUGUUUAGUGGCAUGGGAUGGGGUCGCGUCCUAUCAGCUUGUAGGCGGGGUAAUGGCCCACCUAGGCUUCGACGGGUAGCCGGCCUGAGAGGGCGGACGGCCACAUUGGGACUGAGAUACGGCCCAGACUCCUACGGGAGGCAGCAGC